UGUCUUCAAGAAGAAGCUGCCCUUCCUUGGUGGUGUUGAAUGAAAAACUGUAUGCAUAAGGCAGUUAUGAUGGGACAAGUUUUUCUUAUCACGUGUGGAAAUGUUUGAUCCUUGUAUUGGCUCUUGGAUUUUGCUGAUCCAAUGAAUAUUUUCAAAGGAUAUAGUGUAUCUAUGACUCGUAAUGAUGCUAUGCACAUUGUGGGAAGUUUUAUGAAUAACGGCUGAGUGUUAUAGAGAAGGAGCUGGUUGGCAAAUUACUGGUUCAAAAGCCUUUGGAAGCAGAUGCCUUCACUCAGCUAUGGUUUUGUAGAUUGCUAAGAAUUAAGUUGAAAGAUAUAUCUCAUCAUUUUUUUCUUCUAUAUGUUGAGGGCAUAUUCAGUUUCUCUUGUUGUAAUUCUAUUAGUUGGUCAGAGCUGCAAGAACGUGCAUUCUACAUGAUUAGUUAGACUUAGUUGAUGACCUGUAGAUAAUACUGCUCACUGUUACAUGAAAAUUGUUGGACAUGGUUGGGUAAGUCUUGUUCAUUUGAUUAGUUUUUUGAAAGCCUUAAACUACUUACAUGGGCCAUAUGAGGUUAACAUUUGAAUGAUCAUAGAAUGUGAUUUUCGAGUUAAACUCCAGCUAGCAUAUGAGAAAGAUGAAAAAGUGAGAGACUCCAAAAUAAGAGCCUUCCUAGAUGAGA